AUGGCUGAGUGGUAAAGCGCUUGGCUACCAAACCGAGGGUUCCGGGUUCAAAUCCUGGU
rnacentral:tRNA from 1 species